GGGGUGUUAGUUAAACGGAUAUAACAUACCGCUACGGACGGUAGAUUAUGGGUUCGAUUCCUGUACGCCCUGCCA
rnacentral:tRNA from 2 species